rnacentral:lncRNA from 1 species
UUUAACAUGGUAUCAAAGCCUCCCUAUCCGAUGUUGGGCCUCCCAUAAAUAUAUCACGCACUAGUAAAAUUUUGGGCGUGAAGGGGGUGUGUUGAAUUGCACAUUGGUUGUGGAAAGGGUUAAUGUGCCCCUUAUAUGGGCCAUAGGCAAUCCUCCCCCUUGAGCUAGCUUUUGGGGUGAGUUAGACCUGGCCCAAAUUUAACAGUUACAACAGCACUGGGAAAAUAGAAGACAAUAGAAAAUUUAUCUAUACAUGGAAAGGUUCAAAAGAAAUAUCGUGUAGUUUAGUACUUGAAUGCAGAGGAACUUUCUCUCCACCUUUUGAAUACCAAGAGGUUUAUUUUACAGUCAAUUCAUAAGAAUUUUCUAAAAAUGUUGACAAAAUUAAUACUAUAUGGUGUCCAUGUGUCAUAAGAUGCCAAUUAAUGUUACCACACAUGAAAAUCAUUACCGGAGACGACAAGAAGAUUUUAAAUCACCAAGAACAACUCAAGCCUUGAUUUGCACAGCUCAAGGUUCUAUUCAAAGGAAUCAAACUGCACAAAUGCUAUCAAUCUAAAGCAAUGAAAUAACACCACUAUCUUUAAGGCGGCCAGUGAAUGAGAAAAUUAUGUACAAAUCACAAUGUCCGUGUACGCAUGCUCUCAAGCUCUUCAAGCUCUCUGGAAUGGAGCAUGAAAUUUAAUAUCCACAGUAACAUCACUGCGGUAUGUUAUAAAUUAUAAGAAGUAAAUAUAUUAAUAUAGGAAGUAAAUAUUGAUAGAUGGGUUAGUUGCUUAAUCUUAGGGAUUGUAUAAUCCUAGACUUGAUUUUCCUUCCUGUUUUGAUACCGUCUCUCGUGUAUAAAUAGAUUGUAAUUUUUAUUAUGAAAUACAACAAAUAUUAUAUUUUUACAUGGUAUCAAAGCCAGGUUUGUAGAGAUUUAUUUUUCUCUCUCUCAUCAAGUCUUAACAUUUGGAGACUUAGGACUCUGUUCAUUUGGGUUAGUCGUAAAGAGUAGUAUUUGGAGACCUAGGACUCUGUUCAUUUGGGUUACUCAUAAACGGUAAUAUUCGGAGACUUAGGGCUCUGUUCAUUUGGGUUACUCAUUAAGGGUAACAUUUGGAGACUUAGGGUUUUGUUCAUUUGGGUUACUCAUAAAAGGGUAACAUUUGGAGACCUAGGACUCUGUUCAUUUGGGUUACUCAUAAAGGGUAACAUUUGGAGACUUAGGGCUCUAUUUAUUUGGGUUACUCAUAAAGGGUAACAUUUGAAGACUUAGGGCUCUGUUUAUUUGUAUUAUCCAUAAAGGGUAACAUUUGGAGACUUAGGGCUCCGUUCACAAGGCAUUGUUCACGGGAAUUAUUCAUCAGGUAUUGUUCACGAGUACUGUUCAUCGGGUACUGUUUACGGUACUGUUUAUGAGUCACGAGUACUGUUCAUCGAGUAAUGUUAGGUGAUUAGUCUUAUUAAUCAUUCUGAAUUUAUUAAGAAUUAAUGGAGUAUUUGGAAUUUCUAUAUUCUGGCAAAGGGAAUAUUUAUUGUAUUUAUGAUAUGUGUAAGGCGUUUUACCAAGCUGAGAAAAUGUGGUCUCCUGUUCUAGCGCUGAAUCUGAAUGUCGAGUCAUGGCAAAAACCAUUUGUGAAGUUUUGUGGGUACGUCAAUUAUUGGAAGAAAUUGGGUUCACAAAUUCGGUGUCUGCUAAGUUGUAUGGGACGAGUUGAUUAUAUAUGUAACAAGUUGGGCAUGAUUAACAUUUAUACUCCAACUUGAGGGGAGUGUUAUAGAUUAUAGGAAGUAAAUAUAUUAAUAUAGGAAGUAAAUAUUGAUAGAUGGGUUAGUUGCUUAAUCUUAGGGACUGUAUAAUCAUAGACUUGAUUUUCCUUCCUGUUUAGAUACCGUCUCUCGUGUAUAAAUAGAUUGUAAUCUUUAUUAUGAAAUACAACAACAAAUAUUAUAUUUCUACACGGUAGAUACAGAAAAGAAGUCUCAAACCUACGACAAUCGAAAAUAUACUGCUAUUGUUCUCUUUACCAUUCCAUAUUCAAUGAUGGAAGUUAUACUGUCGUGGAAUUUAUUGAAACCUUCUAUUGACACUAGAUAAAAAAAGAAUUAAAAAUAAAUCCUUAUGGACAAAAAGAAAGAAAGUUCAAUACUUCAAUUCUAAUUAAAAAUGUUUUUUUGGAAUGAAUCAUGAAAUCAAUGCCAUAAUCAUAGGUUUAAGUUGAAUAUAAUCAAAAUCUAAAUAGAGUUCAGAUGCAUGUGUCUGACACGCCUGUCAACUGCGACAAAUAAAUAAAUAAACUUGAGAUUCACACUUCCCCAUAUUUCAAACUAUCAACUGUGAAUCUUUAAAAUACAAAUGUUCGCAGCCAGUGUGAAAAGGUGAUAUAACACAUUUAAAGAGCUCCAUGCUAAUUUAGAACAGGUGGUUCAAGAGUAAUUGGAGCAGGCUCAAAGACAGUAGUUCAAAAGAGCAGCCUGUAGAUUCUAGUUCCUUUAAGAUUUCAUAUUGCAUUUACUUUUUUUCCUGUAACAACAAAUGCUUAUUAUUUAAUUUUCCUAUUUCCUCUUGGAUUAAGUUUUUAUAGCCCAAUCAAAUUUCCCUUAGGAUUUACAUUAUUUCUUAUUUAUAUUGGAUUUAGACCAAGCUGUUUUGGGACUUCUAUUUGGACCAGCAGACCGCCCUAUAAGUAAAUGAUGCUUGGACAUAAUUUGGUAGCUAAUACAUCAGUUUUUGAUGUCUCAAGUUGCAUUCAAAAUUUCUCAAACUCACGCAUUUUUUCCAGGAUUUAGUCAAUUGCUAAACCUGUAUUUUUUCUAUGCAAACCCACUGCACAAUAUAUAUAUAUAUAUAUAUAUAUAUANNNNNNNNNNNNNNNNNNNNNNNNNNNNNNNNNNNNNNNNNNNNNNNNNNNNNAUAUAUAUAUAUAUAUAUAUAUAUAUAUGACAAAAAUGCAAAUACAUUUAGGAGUACAAUGUGUGACUUGAAAAUAUGGUUACCAGUUUGGGAAGAAGUUCAGAAGCAUUUGGAGGUAGUCCAGCUCCAUCAGUCAUCCAUGGGAAUUCAGAGGAUACAUUGCUAUUAGAAUUCUUUGCACCAGAAGUUAUGAUCUCAUUCAACCUAGCCUGCAAAAGAGAGAAGAAAGUAGUUAUUUUUCAAAUAGUGCCCAAUGAUGAGGAGCAUCAAUUCAGCUUGGUGGUUUGUGUUCAUGACACUUCAAAUAAAUGGGUAUAAUGAUGUUAAGGUCUCAUGAAGAAAACACAAUUAAUUAAUCAUCUCAAAAUGCAAAUAUGGACAUGACUCAUUUAUUAAACCUGAAACAGAAUAUGACACAAAAUUCCUGUUCAAAGAGCAGACCGUAUUGCAUUCCAUGACACAUGUUGCCUAACCUGAUGCAUAUUUAACAGGAUUAAUCACAAAUAAAAAACCUGAGGUUCUACCUCGAAAAAACACUUUAAUCCCUGCUGUUGUCCUUUUAAUCCUCUCCUCUCAUACUUCAUCAGCAAAAAAUAUUAGAUUCUGAGGGACUGAAGCAUAUUAUAAAACUAAAAGUUCAUGGACAUAUGUGAGAUUAAAUUGUCACUCCAGUGAUCAAAGUACAGUCUGAUAUAAAAGGAGAGGGGAGGGGGGGGGGGCUAUAGCGUGCUGAAAGAAUUUAUAAUUUUACAGUGAAGGACUAAAGUGUUAAUUCAUGAUAAAUCUCAAUGACUAUCCGCAGAUUUCGAAAUAGAAGGAACCAAAGUGUAUUUUAAGACAAAAUUGGUUUUCAGUAAUUAGACCUAUUUAAUAUAUAAUUCUUAUACCAUUUAUAUGUCUCACAUUUAUUUUUCAUACCAUGGCUUUUCUUUUUUUCCUUUUAAAUUCACUUUUAGAAUGUCAACCUUAAAAAUAUUACAUUCAAAAUAAUGAAAAGAAGUAGUCAAUGAAAGGUCAACCAUUAUUUCUUUACACAGGUUAUGUAAGUCACAAAUAUGGGGGUUUAAAAUGAGUCAACGCAUAAAUGUCAAUUGCAUUGCAUGUUGGCACAUCAAUUUGCAAUGUGACAGUAUUAUCGUUUGUCAGAACUAUGCAAACUGAUGCAGUAUUAGAAGAUUCAAAUUUUAGAGGGUCCAAAGAAAAUUGAGAGUUAUGGAAAGUGAGUUGGAAGAAUGCAAGGAAGAACUUGAAGAUGGAAAACUAGAAGAGGAACUUGAAGUUGAAGAUGAACAAGAAGGAGAAUUUGAGAUCAACUUGAAAGCAGUUUGAAGAGUCUGGGCAUAGAGAAUGGAGAACUGAAACUUAGGAAGUUAGUAGUUUCUCCUUAAACUAGUCGCUGCGCAUGUUGAGAACCAAGUUGACAAACUUGGAUUGUAAACUUUGGAGCGACCUAUUCUAGAGAAAGAAAUUAAUGAAGCUGAAAACCUUGAGGAGUCUAUUAUAGGAAAUGAAGAAAUUCAAGCCAUGCAGACUUUGGAAACUUCAACAGAAAUUGAAGAAAAUCAAGCCAAGCUUAUUCCUAGUAAAAUGAAGAGAUUUCUGGUUGAAAUUGUGAUUCAUUUUCUAUGUUUGGACGUUUUAAGGAUGUAAAGGAAAGUAUGAAGUUCUUUGUUUCAACAUAGUUGCUAACUGUUAGAAUUGAUGAGAUUACAAGCUACAAUUAAGGAGAAUGUUACGAAAAGUUGAAUCUAUUUAAUAUUGGAUUUGUAUUCCUAAAUAGAUAGAAUAAUUAUGUCUAUAUAUACUUAUGGUUAUGAGAUCUAAUAUGUUUCUAUUAUAGUUGACCCUUCAUUUAUGUUAUUAUACCGUAUGAUUAUAAAUAGGAAACCUUUUGCAUUAGUGAGAUAAUCCAAUUCAAUAAAAAUGAAUGUAGCCCUUUGAGGUUUUAUGUUCGUGAAUACAGGCUCUCAUAACAGAGCCACAUAAAUCUUCUUGUGUUAUUGUCUUCUCUCUUUUAAAUUUGACAUGUUGUAUUCUCUCUUUUACAUUUAACGAGGUAUCAAAGCCUUCCAUCAAUAUUGGGCCCCCGUAAAAUAUAUUGGGCCCCUGUAAAAUAUUUACGCUCCAGCAUAGUCGAAAUCAUAGGUGUGUUGAAUCCCACAUCGACUUGAGUUAGAGAUAAUGUGCCCGUUUCAAGGGCCUUCAGGGCUGCUUCCUGUGAGCUAGCUUUUGGGAUGAGUUAGACCUAGUCCAAAUUUAACAUGAUAUCAAAACUUUCAAUGUUUUGAGGUGUUUUGUUUGGGUACUGUUCAUGGACACUAUUCAUUAGUAUUAUUUAUAGGCACUAUUCACACCUACGUUUAUGCUCAAAUUGGUAUGGUUUGUUUAAUCCUGAGAGUUACUCUAUGGUGAUGUUUUCUUGCCAGCAUUACCUUCGGAGAGAGAAGUGCAAUUCUAAGAAUUGUUUUGUAUUUUGGUACUUCGUGUGAGUGCCUUUGUGUGAUUAUUUUUUAGUGUACUCAUGAGUUGAUGGUUAGAAGUUGUUAUAAGGAGGUUUUUUUACCUCUCUCUCUCUCUGUGUCUGUCUCUGUAAGUUUAGAUUUCUAUUACUUGGGCAAUAUUAUCUCUCUCUCUCUCUCUCUCUCUCUCUCUCUAAGAGGUUGUUUCCACAACUCAACCCAUGACCAUAUGAUUUCAAAGAAGCAAUCACACAAAGCCAACACUCACCCUCUAUUCAAUGCUUCAACGACACACAAACUAAGCCCAAAUCGCAUUUCUAUUUUGACACUUCACUAAAAGAAUUAUUAGAUUAAUUGUGCCUAUAGCCCAGAUCAAGUCAAGAACAAUAUGAAGCAGGAGGAAGAAAGGUUAGGAAGAGAACCAACUAAGCCAAGACUCACCCUCACUUCGUGUCGAACAAGUAGGAUUUGACAGGAGCCCAAAGAAAAGAAGAAAAAAAAAGAUCAUUGGAGAGUAGCUUUCAAACUUUUAAGGAUGGUUGCCAUUGGGCGGUUGGCAAUUGGCUUGUCUCCUAAGGUGGCAAUGAGACAAUUUGAGCAAAGCACCGAUAAACAAUUCCCAUGAAAUACUGAAGCCCUAUCGAAUCGAGAGUCCUGAUACUAUGUUAAGAUCUAAAAAUAUGAAGCAAAAGGAAGAAAGGGAAGUAACUCAAAGGCUAUAUUUUGUUCUCUUACUUCAAUGAAAUAGAAGAUCAAAAAUUUAUAUACAGACAUCCAAAAAAGUUCAUCUAGUUAAUCCUUAAAAUUAUGCCAAC